GGCGCCAUCGUCAAGCGGUUAAGACACCGCCCUUUCACGGCGGGUUCAUGGGUUCGAAUCCCAUUGGCGUCA
rfam:Mitsuokella sp. oral taxon 131 str. W9106 genomic scaffold Scaffold80, whole genome shotgun sequence.